rnacentral:rRNA from 1 species
UGGGGAAUUUUGGACAAUGGGGGAAACCCUGAUCCAGCCAUCCCGCGUGUGCGAUGAAGGCCUUCGGGUUGUAAAGCACUUUUGGCAGGAAAGAAACGUCAUGGGUUAAUACCCCGUGAAACUGACGGUACCUGCAGAAUAAGCACCGGCUAACUACGUGCCAGCAGCCGCGGUAAUACGUAGGGUGCAAGCGUUAAUCGGAAUUACUGGGCGUAAAGCGUGCGCAGGCGGUUCGGAAAGAAAGAUGUGAAAUCCCAGAGCUCAACUUUGGAACUGCAUUAUUAACUACCGGGCUAGAGUGUGUCAGAGGGAGGUGGAAUUCCGCGUGUAGCAGUGAAAUGCGUAGAUAUGCGGAGGAACACCGAUGGCGAAGGCAGCCGCCUGGGAUAACACUGACGCUCAUGAACGAGAGCGUGGGGAGCAAACAGG